AGAACUUUCUGGAAAACUAGCUGAGUGCUACUUGCCUGAAGGGCACUGUGCUUGGAGAUCAAAACAAAAAGGCCAACAUCAGAAAAGCUAAGUUUGCUGUAUAAUAAGGAUCAGAAGAUCUGAUCCUGAUUGCAGAACCAUCCCUGAUUACAGAAUCUGAGUUGUGUCUUCCACCUCAUCCUUCCAGACCAUCCCAGGAGAUUUGGGAGGUUCCAUCUGGGAAAACACUAGGAGUACUUGGAAGGGAAAGAAGGAAGAGGAUUAUUGGU
rnacentral:lncRNA from 1 species